rnacentral:rRNA from 1 species
UACGAAGGGGGCUAGCGUUGCUCGGAAUCACUGGGCGUAAAGCGCACGUAGGCGGACUCUUAAGUCGGUGGUGAAAUCCUGGAGCUCAACUCCAGAACUGCCUUCGAUACUGGGAGUCUCGAGUUCGGGAGAGGUGAGUGGAACUGCGAGUGUAGAGGUGAAAUUCGUAGAUAUUCGCAAGAACACCAGUGGCGAGGGCGGCUCACUGGCCCGAUACUGACGCUGAGGUGCGAAAGCGUGGGGAGCAAACAGG